UGAGAAAGAACAACGUAGGUGUCUUCAGA
rnacentral:piRNA from 1 species